rnacentral:rRNA from 1 species
UACAUGGGGUGCAAACGUUGCUCGGAAUUAUUGGGCGUAAAGCGCACGUAGGCGGCUUGUUAAGUCAGGGGUGAAAUCCUGGAGCUCAACUCCAGAACUGCCUUUGAUACUGGCGAGCUUGAGUUCGGGAGAGGUGAGUGGAACUGCGAGUGUAGAGGUGAAAUUCGUAGAUAUUCGCAAGAACACCAGUGGCGAAGGCGGCUCACUGGCCCGAUACUGACGCUGAGGUGCGAAAGCGUGGGGAGCAAACAGG